rnacentral:tRNA from 1 species
UGGAGGAGUUCCCGAGUAGCCAAAGGGGGCAGACUGUAAAUCUGUUGUCAGUGGCUUCGGUUGUUUGAAUCCACCCUCCAA